rnacentral:rRNA from 1 species
ACCUUCCUACGGGGCGCAGCAGUGGGGAAUAUUGGGCAAUGGGCGCAAGCCUGACCCAGCAACGCCGCGUGAAGGAAGAAGGCUUUCGGGUUGUAAACUUCUUUUCUCAGGGACGAAGCAAGUGACGGUACCUGAGGAAUAAGCCACGGCUAACUACGUGCCAGCAGCCGCGGUAAUACGUAGGUGGCAAGCGUUAUCCGGAUUUACUGGGUGUAAAGGGCGUGUAGGCGGAAUGCCAAGUCAGCGGUAAAAUCGCGGGGCUCAACCUCGCUCCGCCGUUGAAACUGGCGUUCUUGAGUGGGCGA